rnacentral:lncRNA from 1 species
CAACUUCCGGGCAGAAGGAAGAGACAGAGGAAGGAGAAAAAAAAGUGACCAGAGGCAAGGUGCAAGGAGCAGGAAACCAAGAGAAAGCUUAUACCUCCAGACAGAAUGCAAAGGCAAAAAUAAUUGGCAUCUCUGUAAUAGCAUGGAUUUAUAAAGGUGAUAUGAUAUGCCUCCUGGGCUGGCUCUCUGAGAAGCAGAUAAAAUUCUGUCCCCGUACAAACCUGCAGGGAAGAGCUGAUUCAACCAGUUGAAGUCUUUUUAAGAAAUGUUAAUGGGAACGAACGUGGAAUUCCUUGCGUGGCCUGCAGCCAGCAGUUCUGGCGGUACCCAGUGAAGCAGCCAACGAGUGGCACUCCAGGGACUCGCUGCCAACAGCAGAAUGGUUCU